rnacentral:rRNA from 1 species
GACGAACGCUGGCGGCGUGCCUAAUACAUGCAAGUCGAGCGAACUUUAAGAGUGCUUGCACACUUAAAGUUAGCGGCGAACGGGUGAGUAACACGUAAAGAACCUACCUUAUAGACAGGGACAACUAUUGGAAACGAUAGCUAAUACCUGAUAAGAAAGAAACUCGCAUGAGAGAAAAUCGAAAGUCGGAGCAAUCUGAUACUAUAAGAUGGCUUUGCGGUGCAUUAGCUAGUUGGUAGGGUAAAAGCCUACCAAGGCGACGAUGCAUAGCCGACCUGAGAGGGUGACCGGCCACAUUGGGACUGAGACACGGCCCAGACUCCUACGGGAGGCAGCAGUAGGGAAUCUUCCGCAAUGGACGAAAGUCUGACGGAGCAACGCCGCGUGAGUGGAGAAGGAUUUCGGUUCGUAAAACUCUGUUGUUAGGGAAGAAAAAAUGUAUAGUAACUAUAUACAAAAGAGACGGUACCUAACCAGAAAGCCACGGCUAACUACGUGCCAGCAGCCGCGGUAAUACGUAGGUGGCAAGCGUUGUCCGGAAUUAUUGGGCGUAAAGCGCGCGCAGGUGGUUAGAAAGUCUGAUGUGAAAGCCCACGGCUCAACCGUGGAGGGUCAUUGGAAACUAAUAAACUUGAGUGCAGGAGAGAAAAGUGGAAUUCCUAGUGUAGCGGUGAAAUGCGUAGAGAUUAGGAGGAACACCGGUGGCGAAAGCGGCUUUUUGGCCUGCAACUGACACUGAGGCGCGAAAGCGUGGGGAGCAAACAGG